rnacentral:rRNA from 1 species
CGCGCGAUACAGGGUGACAGCCCCGUACACAAAAAUGCACAUGCUGUGAGCUCGAUGAGUAGGGCGGGACACGUGGUAUCCUGUCUGAAUAUGGGGGGACCAUCCUCCAAGGCUAAAUACUCCUGACUGACCGAUAGUGAACCAGUACCGUGAGGGAAAGGCGAAAAGAACCCCGGCGAGGGGAGUGAAAAAGAACCUGAAACCGU